rnacentral:snoRNA from 1 species
AAGAGUAUACUUGCAGGGAUCAUUUCUAUAGUUCAUUACUAGAGAAGUUUCUCUGAUCUUGUAGAGUACUGGAAACCACAAAGAGGAGGUAUGAUGUUCUUGCCUGAGGGUGAAGCUGGCUAUUGGCACUGCUGUGUUGCAGCUGCCAUUUGCCAUUGAUGAUCGUUCUUCUCCUUUAUAGGAGCAAGAGGAUGAGGACAUCAUCUGAGUGGU